UACGUAGGGUGCGAGCGUUAAUCGGAAUUACUGGGCGUAAAGCGUGCGCAGGCGGUUGUGUAAGACAGAUGUGAAAUCCCCGGGCUCAACCUGGGAACUGCAUAUGUGACUGCACAGCUGGAGUACGGUAGAGGGGGAUGGAAUUCCGCGUGUAGCAGUGAAAUGCGUAGAUAUGCGGAGGAACACCGAUGGCGAAGGCAAUCCCCUGGACCUGUACUGACGCUCAUGCACGAAAGCGUGGGGAGCAAACAGG
rnacentral:rRNA from 1 species